GCGGGGCUCUGGCUCCACCCGCCCCCAGGCAUUGGUGUGCGGCCCGGAGGCCCGCCAGAGCCGCUUCCCGGGAUCCUUGACGGCGCUUGUCCUGGGGCGCAGAUGCAGGGAGCCACGGUUCGGCUGCUGCGCGGCGGCGCGCUGCUUAGAAGAAACUUCCCAAUUUGCCUGUCUUCCUGGAAAAAUCCUCCUCAUGUCCUAAAAUCUUCCCAGUCAGAAGCUGGACUCAAAACAACAAAUAAGGCACUACCCUAUGCCCCUCUGCAAACAUUUACAGAUGACGAGAUGAUGAUAAAGAGCACAGUUAAAAAAUUUGCCCAGGAACAGAUUGCUCCUUUGGUUUCAAAAAUGGAUGAAAAUUCAAAAAUGGAAAAAUCAGUAAUACGAGGAUUAUUUCAACAAGGGUUGAUGGGUAUUGAAAUUGACACCAAAUAUGGAGGAACAGGAGCUUCAUUUUUUUCCUCUAUCCUGGUGAUAGAGGAAUUAGCCAAAGUUGAUGCGUCUGUGGCUCUGGUAUGUGACAUCCAGAACACGAUAAUUAACAGGCUAAUUGGAAAAUAUGGAACAGAAGAACAGAAGGCUAUCUAUUUGCCCAAGCUAGCUACAGAACAAAUGGGAAGUUUCUGCCUUUCAGAGGCUGGAGCAGGUAGCGAUUCAUUUGCUUUGAAGACCAAAGCUGAUAAAAAGGGAAAUUAUUAUGUCAUCAACGGGUCAAAGAUGUGGAUUAGCAAUGCCAAGGAUGCCGGGCUCUUCGUGGUGAUGGCAAAUGUAGACCUUACUCUUGGGUAUAAAGGAAUUACCUGCUUCUUGGUAGAUCGUGAUACUGAGGGCCUUCAUAUAGGGAAACCAGAGAACAAAAUGGGAAUCAGAGCUUCUUCUACCUGCCCAUUAACGUUUGAGAAUGUCAAGGUUCCAGAAGCCAAUAUCCUGGGACAAAUUGGACGUGGCUAUAAGUACGCCAUCGGGGGUCUUAAUGAAAGUAGAAUAGGAAUUGCUGCACAGAUGCUGGGACUGGCUCAAGGAUGUUUUGACCACACUAUUCCAUAUAUUAAAGAAAGGGAACAAUUUGGCAAAAGAAUAUUUGAUUUUCAGGGGCUCCAGCACCAAGUGGCUCACAUGGCCACCCAGCUAGAAGCUGCAAGAUUACUCACAUACAACGCUGCAAGGCUUUUAGAAGCUGGAAGGCCAUUCAUUAAAGAAUCAUCUAUGGCCAAGUACUAUGCAUCAGAGAUUGCGGGCCUAAUAACUGGCAAAUGUAUCGAGUGGAUGGGAGGAGUAGGCUACACCAAAAACUACCCCGUGGAAAAAUACUUCCGAGAUGCGAAGAUUGGUACAAUAUAUGAAGGAACUUCAAAUAUGCAGCUGAACACCAUUGCAAAGCGCAUAGAUUCAGAAUACUGACAGCCACGGGAGUAGGACCCCUCCCUGGUGUCACUGGUGUAAAAUUUUAAACUAUUGUGCCUUGUUGGGGGCUGCAUUGAAUGAUUUUAUUUAGGCCCUUCACCUUGGAUCUGGAGGUAGACCUUUCCUGUCUCCUCUUUCCAAUCUGCUUAACUUAGGUGCAGAAAAUCAUUUUUAAAUUUUGGGAAGAAAUGCAUCCAUGUUUUCUCCAAAACUAUUUUUAAAACUCUAUGUGCAUUAUCAUUUUAGCUUCAGGGUAUACAGAAUUUCACUCUAUUGGAAUUUGGAGAAAUAAAGACAAUCCACAGCCACGUAGGCAGCUCCAUUCGGCCACACGGGAGACAAAGACUCUGACACAGAAAGGACAGAAAAGGGGUCUGACACCUAAUCCCUUGAAGCAGAUGUUUUGGUCUGAAAUUUCCACUGGGCUUCAGCAAUCCAGGGCAAUCUCCGGAAGAGUAAAAAUUUCGAAACCAGUUUAUUUCUUCAUCUCUGACUAAUAAUGUAGAUGAAGAAGAAGCUGAAUCCAAAUCCAAUACUGUAGUGCUCACCACUGGCCCCUUAGAGGGAGGAGCUUCAUGUGAUUAUGCAAAAGUCAGAAGAGUCCACAGGCAUCUGAAGGGAAUAUCUCUUGAAAGAAAAUCCUCAUGCUUCCUUGGUACCAUCCGGAAGAGAGUGCUCUCAGAUAGCCACGCUGCGCAGCACGCGGGAUCUUAGUUUCCUGACCAGGGAUCAAACCCGAGACCCCUGCAGUAGAAGCACGGGGUCCUAACCACUGGACCGCCAGGGAAGUCCCCCCACAACGUUUUUAUUCUUGACAAGGGAAGGAUGAGAUGAGACCUGGAGCCAAGAAUCGUCAGAGGCUCACGUACCCUACCAGGAUGAGUCCCAGAUGUGGUCCAGGAGGAACCAGCAGAGACCAGGAAGAUGAAGCAUGUUGCCUCCACUACUCUUUGUGGAGAAGGAUCUGGAUACAUAAAAUGAGGAGCACCACACAUGGGUCCUUGUUAUCCUAGGAUUCAGUACCUGAGUCCCCCAGUCACGUAGCUUCUUUAGGGCAGUUAGAGACAUCAUGACACGGUGUUCACUGAAAAACUGACCAUCUAUAAAUGUGGUGCCCACCCAACACCCCCUUCUGCUAAACUCUGGUGUCCAUCUUUGCCCACCUACGCAAAACCCAAAUAAAUUGAUUGCAAGGUGAAAAUGCA